UCCGCUGUGGCCGAGUGGUUAAGGCGUCAGACUUGAAUGUUUAUCAGCAACCGAUAUCUGAUUCCCUAGGGAGCACAGGUUCGAACCCUGUCGGCGGAG
rnacentral:tRNA from 1 species